CCUACGGGAGGCAGCAGUAGGGAAUAUUGCACAAUGGGGGAAACCCUGAAGCAGCAACGCCGCGUGGAGGAAGAAGGUGUUCGGAAGGUAAACUCCUAUUGGUAGAGAAGAAAAUGACGGUAACUAACGAAUAAGCACCGGCUAACUCCGUGCCAGCAGCCGCGGUAAUACGGAGGGGGCAAGCGUUACUCGGAAUCACUGGGCGUAAAGAGCGCGUAGGCGGGACAGCAAGUCAGAUGUGAAAUCCUAGGGCUUAACCAUAGAACUGCAUUUGAAACUGUGAUUCUAGAGUAUGGGAGAGGUAGGUUGUAUUCUUGGUGUAGCGGUCCACUCCGUAGUUAUCACGAG
rnacentral:rRNA from 1 species